UGGCGAACGGGGUGAGUAACACGUGGGCAACCUGCCCAAAANAGGGGGAUAACACUUGGAAACAGGUGCUAAUACCGCAUAACCAUAGUUACCGCAUGGUAACUAUGUAAAAGGUGGCUAUGCUACCGCUUUUGGAUGGGCCCGCGGCGCAUUAGCUAGUUGGUGGGGUAAAGGCUUACCAAGGCAAUGAUGCGUAGCCGAACUGAGAGGUUGAUCGGCCACAUUGGGACUGAGACACGGCCCAAACUCCUACGGAAGGCAGCAG
rnacentral:rRNA from 1 species